UUGUAAGUCGAUAUGCAAUCAAGACGUGUAAUAAAUAGAUUUUGGGCUGCAAUGAAUGGAGUAAUGAAGAGCAUGGGAUGAAUUGAGGAAGUUCCAACGCAGCCAAGGAGACGGACUUUGAGAGAAAAGCGGGGCCUUCCUCAACAGGGCCAAGAGCUGAAUUUCU